rnacentral:lncRNA from 10 species
CUGAAGUGCUUGUAGAGGUUGUUGUAGGGGUAGAGGCCCUAGCCCCUGCCAGUCAAGUCCAGCUGGCCUGGUCCCUCCCUCCUAGCCACCCUCUAGGUCCCAGCUUCCUGGAUGUCUCAAUGACAAAGGCUGCCUACUUCUCCCCACCAGUGGAGCAGGACUAAAGACUGAAAAAGGCUGGCUACCCCAAUGGCCUCACUUGCUGCUGAUAAAGUGUCCCCAAAUGUCCUUGUGAGGAGGGCUGAGACCCCAGCCAGUGGCUGUGUGAUCCAGAGGACAGCGCAGACCCACACCACGGGCUCAACUGGAAAACACUGGAAGCUGGUUGCAAGGAAGAGUGGAGGGGUUGCUGCUGCUGCUACUCAGAGAAAUGAUGGCCACUAGUGGCUGAGCUCUGGUUUGGAGCCAGGGGCUGUGCUGAGUGACAAUCCCAUUAGAUUUGUACAGUAAGCCUGUGGGGUGAGAAUUGUUGUCCCCACUUCAUAUGGGAGGAAACCACACCUCAAAGAAGGCAGGAAGAAUGCAGAGAAGAGAUGAGGCAAUUUGUACAAAGGACAGCAACUGUAUCCAUGUCCCAGAAGGAAAUCUAUACAACCUUGAGUAAGUGCCUUCACUCUCUUGGGACUCAGUUUCCCCAUUUAUAACACAAGGUCUAGAGGACAUUUCAGCUCUGGUGGGCCUGGUGGGCCUUUUGGUUUUGUUUUAAGAGACAGG